rnacentral:rRNA from 1 species
UGGGGAAUAUUGGACAAUGGGGGCAACCCUGAUCCAGCCAUGCCGCGUGUGUGAAGAAGGCCUUCGGGUUGUAAAGCACUUUAAGUUGGGAGGAAGGGGUGCUGACUAAUAUUCAGCAUCAUUGACGUUACCAACAGAAUAAGCACCGGCUAACUCCGUGCCAGCAGCCGCGGUAAUACGGAGGGUGCAAGCGUUAAUCGGAAUUACUGGGCGUAAAGCGCGCGUAGGCGGCUGAUUAAGUCGGAUGUGAAAGCCCCGGGCUCAACCUGGGAACUGCAUACGAUACUGGUCGGCUAGAGUAUGAGAGAGGGAGGUAGAAUUCCACGUGUAGCGGUGAAAUGCGUAGAUAUGUGGAGGAAUACCGGUGGCGAAGGCGGCCUCCUGGCUUAAUACUGACGCUGAGGUGCGAAAGCGUGGGGAGCAAACAGG